UACGAAGGGGGGCUAGCGUUGCUCGGAAUCACUGGGCGUAAAGGGUGCGUAGGCGGGUCUUUUAAGUCAGGGGUGAAAUCCUGGAGCUCAACUCCAGAACUGCCUUUGAUACUGAGGAUCUUGAGUUCGGGAGAGGUGAGUGGAACUGCGAGUGUAGAGGUGAAAUUCGUAGAUAUUCGCAAGAACACCAGUGGCGAAGGCGGCUCACUGGCCCGAUACUGACGCUGAGGCACGAAAAGCGUGGGGAGCAAACAGGG
rnacentral:rRNA from 1 species